GUGCUCACUUCAGCAGCACAUAUACUAAAACUGGAAAGAUGCAGAGAAGAUUAGCAUGGCCCCCACACAAGGAUGACAUGCAAAUUCAUGAAGUGUUUUGUAUUUUU
rnacentral:snRNA from 1 species